rnacentral:rRNA from 1 species
CGUAGGGGGCAAGCGUUGUCCGGAUUUAUUGGGCGUAAAGAGCGUGUAGGCGGUUCGGUAGGUCCGUUGUGAAAACUCGAGGCUCAACCUCGAGACGCCGAUGGAAACCAUCGAACUAGAGUCCGGAAGAGGAGAGUGGAAUUCCUGGUGUAGCGGUGAAAUGCGCAGAUAACAGGAAGAACACCCGUGGCUAAGGCGGCUCUCUAGUACGGUACUGACGCUGAGACGCGAAAGCGUGGGGAGCGAACAGGAUUAGAUACCCUGGUAGUCCACGCCGUAAACGAUGGGUGCUAGGUGUAGGGGGUGUCGACUCCCUCUGUGCCGAAGCUAACGCAUUAAGCACCCCGCCUGGGGAGUACGGCCGCAAGGCUA